CUCCAGUGACUUAAGCCAGCCUCUUUUGGCGCAGACUCCGUAAUUCUCCCCGGUGCUCGCCGAGCUGGAUUUCAGAGAAGCGCAUCUGCAAAGCAGGUCACAUUUCGACGGGGCUCCGAGCAUCCUCUCUGCCGGAGUCAGGGGAGUAGAGCGGGCCGGAGCCAAGCGCUUUGCGGCGAACGAGGACCACCGCCAUACUCCCACGAUGAGAGCCCCAGGCUGCUGUCUGGUGCCGGUUCUGCUGGCCAUCGCCUGGGCGGAAGGAGACGGCAAAGCGGCGAAAGAAGGCGACAGCCCCAGCAAUUUUAUGGAGGACGAGCAAUGGCUGUCUUCCAUCGCCCAGUACAGCGGCAAGAUCAAACACUGGAACCGGUUCCGAGACGUGAGUCCUGAUGACUACAUCAAGAGCUGGGAAGAUAAUCAGCCUGUAGAUGAAGGUCUGGAUACCACAAAAGAUCCUUGCCAGAAAAUCAAAUGCAGCCGGCAUAAGGUAUGCAUUGCUCAGGGCUACCAGCGGGCCAUGUGCAUCAGCCGCAAAAAGUUGGAGCACCGUAUCAAACAGCCUGCCAUGAAGCUCCAUGGAAACAAGGAGAACUUGUGCAAACCUUGUCACAUGACCCAGCUCGCCUCCGUCUGUGGCUCCGAUGGCCAUACUUACAGCUCUGUGUGUAAACUGGAACAGCAGGCCUGUCUGACCAACAAGCAGCUGACAGUCAAGUGUGAGGGUCAGUGCCCAUGCACGGGUGAACAUAGUCCGACUUCAGCCACAGAUGUCAAGCAAGAAACCUGCACUGGACAAGACUUGGCCGACCUGGGUGAUCGACUGCGGGACUGGUUCCAACUGCUGCAUGAGAAUGCCAAGCAGAACAGCUCUGGAAACACUGGGCCCAAUCCAGUGAAAGCACUGGACAAAAAUCUGGUGGCCAGUUGCAAAGACUCCAUUGGCUGGAUGUUUUCCAAGUUGGACACCAACAGUGAUCUUUUCCUGGACCAAGCAGAGCUGGCGGCUAUCAACCUGGACAAGUAUGAGAUUUGCAUCAGGCCUUUCUUCAAUUCCUGCGACACCUACAAGGAUGGGCGUGUCUCCACUGCAGAGUGGUGUUUCUGCUUCUGGAGAGAGAAGCCUCCGUGUCUUACUGAGCUGGAGAGGAUUCAGAUCCAGGAAGCUUCAAAAAAGAAACCUGGAGUCUUUAUUCCCAGCUGUGACGAGGAUGGAUACUAUCGGAAGAUGCAGUGUGACUCAAACAGUGGGGAGUGUUGGUGUGUUGACCAUCUUGGCACAGAACUGACAGGGACACGGAUGCAUGGGAAUCCAGACUGUGAUGACAUUGUUGGAUUCUCAGGGGACUUUGGGAGUGGUGUCGGAUGGGAAGACGAAGAAGAGAAAGAGACAGAGGAAGCCGGCGAGGAAGCUGAAGAGGAGGAGGGAGAAGCAGAUGAUGGAGGCUAUAUCUGGUAGAUGCCACCAAGAGCACUGUUUGGCCAGGAUGCAGGCUGUAGGGCUGGGAGGUAGCAGUCAACACUAAAUGGAGAGGAACAACUGAACAAGAUGAUCAGGAAACACAGUUGAAUGUAACUAACUAUGGCAGAAUGUGCAAGUGCAUGUAUGAGUGAAUGUAUGUACACUUGCCUGGGUGGGUCCAUUCUCUUUACGUGGCUGUGGAGAUAAUCUCUUUCUUCCCAGCUUAGCAGAGAUCAAAGCUAUAGCCAAGCAAAAGGGGAGGGGGGAAGUACUCUGCACUGUAGGUUCCAGAGGAUCUUAUGUUCAUAUUAAAUUAAUUUUUUUAAUGAUCAGUGACACAUUUCAGCUCCUAACCAGGCUCAAAAGGUGUGAGAAAUACCUGCCUCCUUCAUCGCUCUGGCUGUGGUGCCCAGCAAUAUCCUACAGUAAAUGUCCUGUCCAAACGCUUGUCAAGCAAUCUGCCAAUCAUUUGUGAGUCUUCAUUGCAGCAGAUCACCAGAAUUUGCCUAACAGGUCAGAAAUCAGGAACAAUCCAUUCUCCUCUGAUUAGACAUUUAGAUCAAGGAUCAUAUUGAAGAGGGACAGAUAGUGUAUGGCUAGUUGCAAAUAGAGCUCCACUGCCGUCAUUUCAGAUACCUAGAUGGGUUUCCAAAAUCUCAGAAAAGUUCCCCUGGAAGGUUGUACAUCCAUGCACUGAGUUAAUAGCUAUUCGUGAUCGCCUUUACUGGACUUAAUUCUUGGUUAGGAAGACUUACAAACUUGUCUGUAUUUGCUUCUCAUGUAGUUGGUGUGCUAGCUAGUGCAGUAG